rnacentral:lncRNA from 1 species
UGAAUUAUUAAAAUAGUAAAGAAAAAAUUUUCUUCACAAGAAUAUUAAUAUAAAAAAACUGUAAUAAGUAUAUAUGUUAAUAAAAAUCUUUUACAACAAUUAAUAAAAUUGUUAGAGCCCCUCCAGUAAGAGAGGCUUCCAAAAAUUGACGUCAAGGAGCCUUUAACCAAAGUAGGGCAGGCAUCACAAGCGCACAUAGAAAGUGUGUUCGUAAUAUUAGGUGUUGGCACAACCCACCGUCUCUAAACGAUCAUUGGCGAGUUGCCUUUCACCCCCUGACAGGACAGGUUAAAUAUUUCCGCUAUUGAUUGGUUUAUUUAUAAGCAUCUUCUCUCAUUUUAGUUUUUGAUGCAUCCAAUGUGGGACUUGCAGAAUACCUUUCAUAUGUGCCACUAGCUGUAGCCCUCCCUCGGUGUCGUUUUCGUAAAUUGUUAUGUUUGCAACUGAGCUACUUUGUCUGACAGGAGAUUAUGCAUCGAGGAUAAGUCGCUUGUGUUUUGGAAGUGGAAACAAUGGUGGUGAUAAGGCCACAACAUACGUUACC